rnacentral:rRNA from 2 species
CAUAAUGCAGUCGAGCGCACUGGCCCAACUGAUAUGACGUGCUUGCACUGAAUUGACGUUGGAUUACCAGUGAGCGGCGGACGGGUGAGUAACACGUGGGCAACCUGCCCUGAAGCGGGGGAUAACAUCUGGAAACAGGUGCUAAUACCGCAUAACAACGAAAACCACAUGGUUUUCGUUUCAAAGAUGGUUUCGGCUAUCACUUCAGGAUGGGCCCGCGGUGCAUUAGCUAGUUGGUAAGGUAACGGCUUACCAAGGCAAUGAUGCAUAGCCGAGUUGAGAGACUGAUCGGCCACAAUGGAACUGAGACACGGUCCAUACUCCUACGGGAGGCAGCAGUAGGGAAUCUUCCACAAUGGGCGCAAGCCUGAUGGAGCAACACCGCGUGAGUGAAGAAGGGUUUCGGCUCGUAAAGCUCUGUUGUUGGAGAAGAACGUGCGUGAGAGUAACUGUUCACGCAGUGACGGUAUCCAACCAGAAAGUCACGGCUAACUACGUGCCAGCAGCCGCGGUAAUACGUAGGUGGCAAGCGUUAUCCGGAUUUAUUGGGCGUAAAGCGAGCGCAGGCGGUUGCUUAGGUCUGAUGUGAAAGCCUUCGGCUUAACCGAAGAAGGGCAUCGGAAACCGGGCGACUUGAGUGCAGAAGAGGACAGUGGAACUCCAUGUGUAGCGGUGGAAUGCGUAGAUAUAUGGAAGAACACCAGUGGCGAAGGCGGCUGUCUGGUCUGCAACUGACGCUGAGGCUCGAAAGCAUGGGUAGCGAACAGGAUUAGAUACCCUGGUAGUCCAUGCCGUAAACGAUGAGUGCUAGGGUUUGGGAGGGUUUCCGCCCUUCAGUGCCGGAGCUAACGCAUUAAGCACUCCGCCUGGGGAGUACGACCGCAAGGUUGAAACUCAAAGGAAUUGACGGGGGCCCGCACAAGCGGUGGAGCAUGUGGUUUAAUUCGAAGCUACGCGAAGAACCU